rnacentral:rRNA from 1 species
AUGGAUGCGGGGGGUCCUAGCCCGAAGCGGAGGAGAUCGCCCUCGCCCGGUGUGGAGGAAGACGGAGGAUGCGCCGACUACAUCAGCGCCCUCCCCGACGCCGUGCUCGGCGACAUCAUCUCCCUCCUCCCCACCAAGGAAGGCGCCCGCACCCGAAUCCUCGCGUCCCGGUGGCGCGACCUCUGGCUCUCCGCCCCUCUUAAUCUCGACUGCCGUGAGCUCACCGCCGGCAGGAAUGAAGUCCGCUCUGACGUCGUCUCGCGCAUCCUUUCCUCCCACCGGGGACCCGGCCGUCGUCUCUACAUCAACACCUGCAUCCACUGGAUACCAGCAGACACCGUGGAAGCUUGCCUCCGAUCCGCCGCUCUGGACAACCUUGAGGAGCUUGAUUUCAUCAACCAUCUGUUAGAGAAACCACAGCGGGCAUUGAUCCUCCGCUUCUCGCCCACCCUCCGUGUUGCCAACAUUGGUGGAUGCAACCUCUCGGACGUCCAUGAGCUUCACCUUCACUUCCCCCUGCUUAAGCUGCUCGGUCUUGUAAAUGUCAUGAUCUCGGAGAGCUCGCUGCAUAGCCUGAUUGCCGGGUGCCCAGCUCUCGAGUGCUUGCUGAUUGACAUGUGCCCUGGCUUCCGCCGCAUCCGAAUAAACUCCCCAACUAUUAGAUGCAUGGCUGUGAGAGAAUAUGGGAUACCGAUAGAGUCACUGCUGCUUGAACAAAUCGUCAUUGAGAAAGCUCCUUGUCUUGUGAGGCUGCUCUUUGAGAGGGGCAGUAUUCUGCAGGUAACCGUACUCACAGCUCCUAAAUUGGAGACUUUAGGCUUCAUUAGUGAUAAGUGCAGGUCAGGUGAAGUGUCCAGACUCAUGAUUGGCUCCACUGUUAUUCAGGGAUUGCGUGUUGAUAACCUGAUAACGGUGGUACAAACUGUCAAGAUUUUGGCUCUUGAUAUGGGCAAUCUUAGUUUGGAUACUGUUAUUGAGUUGAUGAGAUGCUUUCCGUGCUUGGAGAAGUUGUACAUUCAGUCAUUUCAAUCAAGACCGGGGAAUUUGUGGCGUCGUAAACACCGGAAUCUGUUAAAAUGUUUUGACAUGAGUCUGAAGACGUUAGUGUUACAACUAUAUCGGGGGAAGAAGUCGCAAAUUAACUUUCUUACAUUCUUUGUAUUGAAUGCGAAAGUGCUAGAGUCAGUGACACUUGGCAUCACAACCAGGAAUAACAAUGAGAAGUUUUUGGCAGAACAACGCAGGAAGCUUCAGCUGGAGAACAGGGUUUCCAGAGAUGCUCAGUUUCAUUUUAGAACUGGUAGUUAUGUCCGCAGUUCUUAUGAUGUCAAGCAUAUCGGUGAUUUGGAUUUGACUGAUCCAUUCGCACAUAUGUAG